GAGUUUGAUCGUGGCUCAGGAUGAACGCUAGCGGCAGGCUUAACACAUGCAAGUCGAGGGGUAGAGUUAGCUUGCUAACUUGAGACCGGCGCACGGGUGCGUAACGCGUAUGCAAUCUACCUUGUACAGGGGGAUAGCCCAGAGAAAUUUGGAUUAAUACCCCAUAGUGUUAUGAUGUGGCAUCACAUUAUAACUAAAGUUCCAACGGUACAAGAUGAGCAUGCGUCCCAUUAGCUAGUUGGUGUGGUAACGGCAUACCAAGGCAACGAUGGGUAGGGGUCCUGAGAGGGAGAUCCCCCACACUGGUACUGAGACACGGACCAGACUCCUACGGGAGGCAGCAGUGAGGAAUAUUGGUCAAUGGGCGCAAGCCUGAACCAGCCAUGCCGCGUGCAGGAUGACGGUCCUAUGGAUUGUAAACUGCUUUUUGUACAGGAAGAAACACUCCCCUCGUGA
rnacentral:rRNA from 1 species